CAUUCCAAGCUUGUGUGGUAAACUCAUAAUCCUUAUAUGCUAUGGCUGUUGAGUACUAGUAUGAAGCUCUUAGUAAACCUUUGAAACAAGAGGUUGACGAAGAGGAUGUCUAUUCUACGUAGAUAAAGAUUUUUUACUUCACAACCAACCCGUUGGAGAAGAUCUUAAUUAACUUCUCACCCGGACCAUGACUGCUUCACUACCAUCAAUUCCGAGGAGCAAUAUCCGAUCGGUUAACUUGAUACGGAAAAUCUCCGCGCCAACCACCGCCGCUUCACCCCAUUAGCGCUGCUGAACUGCAUCAGCGUCGUCUGCUACAACAAGGCGACUUCUUCUCAGAUCAACCAUCACUCCUUCUUUGCCCUUUCUGAGGAACAAUAACAACAAACAAAUCAGAGAUUCAUCAACAAAAAUCAAUCGAAUAGAUUAUGCCAGGCGAACAGAUUAUAAGGGCCUCUUGAAUCGGAUUUCAACUGAUGAAGAAGAAACUUGUGAGAUCAAGGAAAGGCAGUAGCUAGAAAUUUGUGAAUGCAUGAUCACUUGAAGCUGCAGCUGCUUCGGUUUUCUCAUGUAUGGGAGCAGGAUACGACACCAAAAAGAGUGGUGUUGGUAUAUCAUCUAUGGAGGUACCUAUUAAGGGUGAAGGUAUUUGGUAAAUCACUACAAGAAUACAUGCUGAACUACCAGAGAACAACAUCUAGCCUCAUAACCAUCAGUAGACGGAUAUUGAACCACAACAAAACAUCAAAGAGAUAAGAACUCAAGCUUUGGGAAGAUGAAGUCAUUCAUACAAGUCAAAACUAGGACCUGAGAUUAUAACCAACAAUGUCAAAAGCUACUUGACCUCAGCAAAAGCUAAGUAUUACUUUCUUAAACUGAAUAUUUGAAAGUAUACCGGAGUUACAUAACUAUUGGCAGUUAUAGCAUUUCAGUCAGUACACACUUCUCCUUAAACCUUUUUAUCUUAUAAUGCAUGGAAAAUUUUGAGUUUCAAUGGAAACAUCAUGAUAUAAAUUAUAUAGGGAAGCACUAAGCUUCCCUUUAUUGCCAUAUAAGUGUCUCACCUCAGCUAAAUGCAUAAUUGAAUUAUAACUAGACUUAUAUUAGAUCUGUAAAAGCAUGAAUCUCCUUAUAAUUAAAAUCAAUGCUUGAAUGCUAGAGAAAAGUUAAAUAUCCUUAUAAUGAUGAGCAUGAGCGUAACUGUCUCACUUUAGUGAAAAAACAUGUUUAAAUCAUAAAGCAUGAGCUUGCUUAGCUAGGUACAACUGUUGCAUAUGGAUAAAACAUCUGAAUAAUGAACUAGAUGAUUAAAUUUGCUCAACUAGUAUCUGCCAUGUAUAUCUUGCUUGAAUAACACAAAUCUGCUUUUUAUAUAUCUCAUACAUUAUGAGCUGGUCUAUUGCUUCUAAUUGCAUCUGAGUGACAUUUAAUGUUGUACCUCAUGAACUUGAUCUGAAAUCGUUAUGAGAAAUUGUAGUCUAACUGUUUCAAAAUGCUCUUCAAUGGAACUUCAAUAGAGCAGUUGCAGUCUGUUAACAGUAAGCCUUGAACUACAAAUGUUGUGAGAGGUUGUUGAUUCAUGUCUAACUCGAUAUAAAGAACCUCAUACAAAUAUGGUCGAUUAACAAGAAUACGAGCUUAACUUUCAGAGAACAACGUUUGGCCAUAUCGAAUCACAAUACACACGCCAAGGAUAAGUAUUAUCUGUCUUUCUUUUAACUUUUCCGAUUGCUAUAUCUUGCAAAUAUUUAGUGGUAGCUUUACUUUGAACUUGAUUCAUAAUCUUGAAUGAAAUCCUUUUAAUUCUAAAAGCAUUAAACGCAUUAGGAGGUAUACCGUCUAAAUUUUUGGUUGCGCUGAAGUAAUAAUGCUCAAUUUUUGAAUUUCAAUAACUCAUUUUAAGCUUGGCUCUUUCAGAAAUAGUUCUGGAAGUCUCCAUAAUCGAGUCUUGAUUGCCCCUGUGGUUGCAUAAUGAGAGCAAGAACUAUCAUAGCUAGAAGUCUUUGGAAGGUAUUACAUCACACGCCGCGUGAUAACUCAGGUACUGAAUGAACAGAGGCCUGAGUGGGUUUUGCUGUCAUUCCUCGCGUGCCCAGCUGGUCUCCAGAAGAUGAUGCAAGACAAAGAGAAGGUGUUGGAACUGUAACGGGAAUUGGUGAGCUGUAUUCUGAUGCAGAGAAUUGAAGCUGCGGAAGAUGAAAUGGGUUUGAGUUGUGUUGAAGCGAGGGAGAGAUGUGUAUGUGAGGUUUUGGUUAUGUUCAAGCAGCAAAACAGCAUAACCAAAUCAGUUACUUGACUACACCAUAGUCAUGGUAAACGUCUGUGUAGGAGGUGUUGCAAUUGGUUUCUGAUUCAGGGAGGAAUGACUGCACAGAGACGGUGAGGCUUGAGAGUUGAAUUGCUACAAUGAAGUGAAGGGGAGAAUGGUUUUACUAAAGAUGGUGGUGUUGCGUGUUUGGCUUGAGAAUGAGUUGUAGCAGAAUACAGGAAAUUGUAGGAGAAACACAAUUAAAAGCCGUCACUUGGAUUUUCCGAGCUAACUUCCAAUAUCAGUAAACGCACCAGAUUUAAGCACCAAUAUUCUUUACCUUUAGCCGCUACCAGUUCGACUCCGAGAGAAGAUAGCUACAGGGUAACAGCGACUCGGGACCUAAUCUUAUAGGCACUACUUCACUACACCAGUGCUCUCAGACCCUCCUGUAAUCUCUUCUAUUGUAUUUCGAGACUGGUGAAACAAUAAUUCAGGGGAGGUGCGUAUAACGCAGAAGUAAUUCAGUUCAAGUACCUGGCACUAACCCUCUUGCAAGACUGAAGAUCAUUAAAGUGGGGUAAACCACAAGGCCAGUACGUACAUACUAGUAACGCGGCUAUGGCAUCAUCCAGAAGCGGCUACUACAAUUCUGUUCCAGUUAUCAGUAUCUUCUCUUUGAACGUAAUAACAAUGCUAAAACCAGUUCCUUCAUGCCUGCAAGCUCGGAUCAAAUGGAGUUGCUGCUGUUGGAAACAAGGACGGAUUGAGGGAAGAAGAUCUAUGUGAGGGGUCAGAAAACCACCAGGAAUCCAUCUCUCGAUCACCAGUUUGACUAGGUGUUUGACAAAACGUUUACGAAGAGCUCACCUGAACUCAACAGUUCUCUAUCGGUAUUAUUACAUAUUCUUGGCUUUACAAUGCAAUGCAAACGGACGCUUAACUUAGAUUACUUCAAAGUAAGCUCUGAUGAUGAUAUACAAAAGCAUAAUGGAUUAGUUUCACGCUUCUAUGGCUCAUAUCCGACUACUCAAACUACUGCUGCUUCAUCAACCGCGUCUGUCUUAACAAAGUCAGAGUUAAAAAUCAUCAUAGCCAUGGAUACUGUGAUCUUGUCAGUGCUACAUGACCGCACCAACUUCAGUCUGUGAGAAUUAUAAAACCGAAGGGCGCUUAUGAUAAAGAAGAGCAUCUCCGGCUAGCUGCCUCAACAGAGCUGCUAAGAGAAAACAAUUAGACGAGCGCGUCACAUGUGCUUAAUGUCAAACACCACAGAGCAGUACUUAACCACCCACAAGUAAGCCUCUUUUUUCCCUUAUUAGUAUUAUAAUUGCCUGAUAAACUACCUCACCAGGCACAUCCUUGCUUUCUUCUCAUAUUAGAUACAAUGACUAGCCCACCGGUCCGGAUGCGUGUUUGUUUAGCAUGAAAAGUAUUUAUGGGAGACCUUGUCCUAUCUCAUGUAUUUAGUGUAUUAAACCAAGUAGUGUCCGAGAUAGUGCCUAUUUGUGUAUUGAUAUUUGAGUUCCAUGAAGCGGGCAUGUGUUAUCCAAUCGCAUAUGUGAAUUACCAUCUUUCUGAUUUCACUAAGUACACAUAGAAUAUAAACAGAAUAUCCGUGUCAUAUUGUAUUGAACUUUAGAAAAUUUAAAUAUGAUCACGCUAUAG